rnacentral:rRNA from 1 species
AUUGAACGCUGGCGGCAUGCCUUACACAUGCAAGUCGAACGGCAGCGGGGGAGAAGCUUGCUUUUCCUGCCGGCGAGUGGCGAACGGGUGAGUAAUACAUCGGAACGUGCCCUGUAGUGGGGGAUAACUAGUCGAAAGAUUAGCUAAUACCGCAUACGACCUGAGGGUGAAAGUGGGGGACCGCAAGGCCUCAUGCUAUAGGAGCGGCCGAUGUCUGAUUAGCUAGUUGGUGGGGUAAAGGCCUACCAAGGCGACGAUCAGUAGCUGGUCGGAGAGGACGAUCAGCCACACUGGGACUGAGACACGGCCCAGAAUCCUACGGGAGGCAGCAGUGGGGAAUUUUGGACAAUGGGCGAAAGCCUGAUCCAGCAAUGCCGCGUGUGUGAAGAAGGCCUUCGGGUUGUAAAGCACUUUUGUCCGGAAAGAAAUGGCUCUGGUUAAUACCUGGGGUCGAUGACGGUACCGGAAGAAUAAGGACCGGCUAACUACGUGCCAGCCGCCGCCGUAA